rnacentral:rRNA from 1 species
GAUGAACGCUGGCGGCGUGCCUAAUACAUGCAAGUCGAGCGAACAGACGAGGAGCUUGCUCCUCUGACGUUAGCGGCGGACGGGUGAGUAACACGUGGAUAACCUACCUAUAAGACUGGGAUAACUUCGGGAAACCGGAGCUAAUACCGGAUAAUAUAUUGAACCGCAUGGUUCAAUAGUGAAAGACGGUUUUGCUGUCACUUAUAGAUGGAUCCGCGCCGCAUUAGCUAGUUGGUAAGGUAACGGCUUACCAAGGCGACGAUGCGUAGCCGACCUGAGAGGGGGAUCGGCCACACUGGAACUGAGACACGGUCCAGACGCCUACGGGAGUCAGCAGUAGGGAAUCUUCCGCAAUGGGCGAAAGCCUGACGGAGCAACGCCGCGUGAGUGAUGAAGGUCUUCGGAUGGUAAAACUCUGUUAUUAGGGAAGAACAAAUGUGUAAGUAACUAUGCACGUCUUGACGGUACCUAAUCAGAAAGCCACGGCUAACUACGUGCCAGCCGCCGCCGUAAAAC